CAGCCGCCACGGGAAUACAGAGGGUGCAAGCGUUAAUCGGAAUUACUGGGCGUAAAGCGCGCGUAGGUGGUUCGCCAAGUUGGAUGUGAAAUCCCCGGGCUCAACCUGGGAACUGCAUCCAAAACUGGCGAGCUAGAGUAUGGUAGAGGGUGGUGGAAUUUCCUGUGUAGCGGUGAAAUGCGUAGAUAUAGGAAGGAACAUCAGUGGCGAAGGCGACCACCUGGACUCAUACUGACACUGAGGUGCGAAAGCGUGGGGAGCAAACAGGAUUAGAUACCCCAGUAGUCCCUGUCUCUUAUAC
rnacentral:rRNA from 1 species